AAUCCCAGAUGAGAAAGGACAGUAACUGAACUGAUUGCAGGAUAAAGACUGGAGGAACAUUGAACUACCAACACUUGAUAUAGAAAGUGUGGGUGGACAGGAGACCUUUGAGGAAGG
rnacentral:misc_RNA from 1 species